CACGUAGGGCGCAAGCGUUGUCCGGAAUUAUUGGGCGUAAAGAGCUCGUAGGCGGUCUGUUGCGUCCGCUGUGAAAACUCGGGGCUUAACCCCGAGCCUGCAGUGGAUACGGGCAGACUAGAGGUAGGUAGGGGAGAAUGGAAUUCUCGGUGUAGAGGUGAAAUUCGUAGAUAUCGAGAGGAACACCGGUGGCGAAGGCGGCCUUCUGGACAGUGACUGACGCUGAGACGCGAAAGCGUGGGGAGCAAACAGG
rnacentral:rRNA from 1 species